rnacentral:RNase_MRP_RNA from 2 species
CCGCCGUGCGAAGAAUCGUCGUCGCAGCUUCCACACAGAUAGCCUCGAGCUUUCUCGUCUUUACCGCUGUGGGGAAAGUCCCCGGAGAAACAGAGGAUGUCCUUGUCCAAUUAACGGAAAGCGACCGGCACUAAGCGCGUCGGUACUGGACUAUGGACGGCGCGGGCGAGGUUGCCGCAGCGCUCGUUAGCGUCUGCAGCUCCUCCGCGCCACUCUGUCGUCUGGCGAUGCAACUGGUCGCCCACCAAGGUGGAUUUUGCGCGAAGAUACGAGCGUGUUUUCACUGGGUGGCUGGCUAGCAUGUCAAGACACUCGUUGCUCAUAGACAUAGUUAUGCGAUUGGGACCUUCGUGGUCUUUAACACAAUGGGGCUCACUCUCACUCGGCG